rnacentral:lncRNA from 1 species
AGCAUGGCCAGGGGCGGGGCUUCCCUGAGGCGCGCCGAGAGGCGGUGGCCCACUUCCGGCAAUAAUCGCCUGGUCGCCGUCAGGUGCCGGCCCAGGUGGCAGGCGCGCCCGUUGGGCACUGGGGGACGCGGGCGCGUCAGGUGAAGACUGGGGGCUGCAGGCGCGCUAGGAGAACUAUGCCAUUUUUGGGUCAGGACUGGAGAUCUCCUGGAUGGAGUUGGAUUAAGACAGAAGAUGGCUGGAAGAAUUGUGAAUCUUGUAGUCAGAAACUUGAAAGAGAGAAUAACCAUUGUAACAUCAGUCACAGCAUUAUCUUAAAUAGCGAAGAUGGAGAAAUACUCAAUAAUGAAGAGCAUGAAUAUGCAUCCAAAAAAAGAAAAAGGACCAUUUUAGAAAUGACACAAAUACUCAAACUGAUCCAUAUGAAUUCCUCUUAUUAAGAAAAAUAAAGCAUCCAGGAUUCAAUGAAGAACUGACUAUCACCUUGUUAAUCAUUCAGAAACAUGUUGCAGACUUAAGCCAUUUUUGAUAUAGAUACUGAAACAAUUACUUGCUAAGAGCAAACUUGAAGUAACAAUUUGGACAAGACAGCAAAUGCUAUUGUCGAAGUUUUCUAAAGAAGAAUCUGAAGUGAAAUGACAUCAAGAGACCUAUCAAGACCUGUAUCCAGGAAAAGACCAAACCAAUGCAGACCAAACCAAUGCAGAACUCCUAUGUGCUGAUGGUGGUCUUACAUUUCCCUAAGUUUCUGCCGACUAAACUGUGCACACGUUCUCAGGACCUCCUGAAGCUGCGUCACAGGCACUAAUCAAAGAACACAACCAAGAGUUUGGCCUUUUCUUCAGCACUGGGAAUUGUGAUCCAAAGCUUUUCCUGAUGAAGCACAAAGUUGGAGAAAAAAAAGCAAACUAAACAACAACAAUGAAACAGAACAGAGUUAAUCUGCUGUAGCUCAAGAGAGGAUGUACCUGCCCCCACCCCGCAUCCCUGGGCUCGGGUUUGCCUUGCUGACCUCUGCUGCCACCUGGUGCCACACAGAGAAACUGAGGAGAAACCACAUCAGUCUCCUUCAGCCUCAGCUUCACAUCUGUGGGUCAAGUAACCCUUUCAGAAGCUGAAUAAUGUGGGAAAGCUUUCCUCUCAGGAAAAUGCACACAUCCAACUUUGAGAAGAUGCCCUUGGGGGUGCUUCAAGGAUCCUAGAUAAAGAACCCCCUUUCCCGAACAUCCAAGAACCUAAGUUUUUUUUUUUUUUUUUGAGAAAGUCUCGCUCUCUCUCCCAGUCUGGAGUGCAGUGGCGUGAUCUUGGCUCACUGCAAGCUCCACCUCCCAGGUUCACGCCAUUCUCCUGCCUCAGCCUCCCGAGUAGCU